rnacentral:tRNA from 1 species
GACGGUUUGGCUGAGUGGUUUAAGGUGCUAGAUUUAGGCUCUAGUCCGAAAGUGCGUGGGUUCAAAUCUCACAGCUGUCA